AUAUGACUGCAUAUAAUAUAUAUACACAUGUUGGUGUUCUAGUUGGUGAGUGGGAACUAGCGGCGGCUACCGCCUAAGAAAUCAAAAUUGAUAGGAGAAACUAGAAAGGGUUUCCGAUUCCGAUGGCUUCAGCGGAGAAACAACCACUCUUGGAGAAUUCAGACUCAAAAGACGCCUCCGAUGGGAAACUCGAGAGAAUCCUAACCGAUAACUCAUUACCCUUGCUGAACCGCGUGGGAGCCGCCACGUGGAUCGAGUUGAAGCUCCUCUUCUUCCUCGCCGCCCCCGCCGUCUUGGUCUACCUCAUCAACUACGUCAUGUCCAUGUCCACGCAAAUCUUCUCCGGCCACCUCGGCAACCUCGAACUGGCCGCCGCCUCGCUCGGCAACACCGGCAUCCAAAUCUUCGCCUACGGCCUCAUGUUAGGCAUGGGGAGUGCGGUUGAGACGCUAUGCGGCCAAGCAUUCGGUGCUCAGAAGUUCGACAUGCUAGGCGUCUACAUGCAACGCUCAACGAUCCUCCUCUCCCUAGCGGGAAUUCUUUUGACUAUCAUAUACAUUUUCAGCGAACCGAUUUUGAUAUUUCUCGGGGAAUCGCCGAGAAUCGCUUCCGCCGCGGCGCUCUUCGUCUACGGUCUCAUCCCUCAGAUCUUCGCCUACGCCGUGAACUUCCCCAUCCAGAAGUUCCUCCAGGCGCAGAGCAUCGUGGCGCCCAGCGCCUACAUCUCAGCCGCCACGCUGUUGCUCCACCUGGCGCUGAGUUGGGUGGCGGUGUACGAGAUUGGGCUGGGCCUGCUGGGCGCCUCGCUCGUUCUCAGCCUCUCCUGGUGGAUCAUUGUCAUAGCCCAGUUUGUUUAUAUUGUGAAGAGCGAGCGCUGCAGGCGCACGUGGCAGGGCUUCACGUGGCAAGCGUUCUCCGGGUUGCCCGGGUUUUUCAAGCUGUCCGCAGCCUCCGCGGUUAUGCUGUGUUUGGAGACGUGGUAUUUUCAGAUUCUCGUUUUGCUCGCCGGGCUUCUCCCUCAACCUGAGUUGGCGCUCGAUUCUCUUUCUAUUUGUACCACAAUUUCUGGAUGGGUGUUCAUGAUCUCUGUUGGGUUCAACGCAGCUGCAAGCGUGAGAGUGAGCAACGAACUAGGAGCAAGAAAUCCAAAAUCAGCCUCGUUUUCGGUGGUGGUGGUGACAUUGAUUUCUUUAAUAAUAUCAGUUAUUGCAGCACUGGUGGUUCUUGCAUUAAGGGAUGUCAUUAGCUAUGCCUUCACAGGGGGUGAAGAAGUUGCUGCUGCAGUUUCAGAUCUUUGCCCUCUGCUUGCUCUUGCUCUUGUCCUCAAUGGCAUUCAGCCCGUCUUAUCUGGGGUGGCUGUUGGAUGUGGAUGGCAAGCUUUCGUAGCUUAUGUAAACGUGGGUUGUUAUUAUGGAGUUGGCAUACCAUUGGGUGCGGUUCUCGGCUUUUAUUUCAAAUUUGGUGCCAAGUGUAUUUGUGGCAGGGAAUAUGGGUGGGAAUGCUAGGUGGCACCGUUAUGCAAACAAUUAUUCUAAUUUGGGUCACAUUUAGAACGGAUUGGACUAAGGAGGUGGAGGAAGCAGCCAAGAGGUUGAAAGCAUGGGAGGACAAGAAGGAGGAGCCACUUCUAAUAAACUGAAGAAUAACUUUGUCUUGUGUGGGAGCUAGCUAGAGAUAUAUAUAAUAAAUAUUUUUUACUUGUAAUUGAAGACAAUUCUAAGGAUUAAUUCUACAAACUGCCUCUGUUAAUAUUUUUCUUCUA